rnacentral:rRNA from 1 species
GACGAACGCUGGCGGCGUGCUUAACACAUGCAAGUCGAACGGAAAGGCCCUGCUUUUGUGGGGUGCUCGAGUGGCGAACGGGUGAGUAACACGUGAGUAACCUGCCCUUGACUUUGGGAUAACUUCAGGAAACUGGGGCUAAUACCGGAUAGGAGCUCCUGCUGCAUGGUGGGGGUUGGAAAGUUUCGGCGGUUGGGGAUGGACUCGCGGCUUAUCAGCUUGUUGGUGGGGUAGUGGCUUACCAAGGCUUUGACGGGUAGCCGGCCUGGGAGGGUGACCGGCCACAUUGGGACUGAGGUACGGCCCAGUAUCCUACGGGAGGCAGCAGUGGGGAAUAUUGCGCAAUGGGCCGGAGCCUGAUACAGCAGCGCCGCGUGCGGGAUGACGGCCUUCGGGUUGUAAACCGCUUUCGCCUGUGACGAAGCGUGAGUGACGGUAAUGGGUAAAGAAGCACCGGCUAACUACGUG